GACAUGAAAGCUGAGAGAAAACCCUUCUACCUAGGAACUCCGGAGUUUCAACUACCAGAGACUGAAGGCAGGAGAGAAAAACUAAGACAAAUGACUUCAAAGCCUUUCUGAAAUGCCACAGAGGGUCAGGAUUACAAUCUGCCUAUUCUGAUUCUUCUACUAUGGGAAAAAAUCUUUUUCAGAAUUGAUGUAAAGCCUCUGUUAAUACUUUUCCUGUUAACAACCUAACUAUUCAACUGCUGAAUAAAAACCAUUAGGACAACUAAAGAAACUGAGAGAUUUUGGCAAGAAAUAGUCAUUCCAAUAUCAAUGACUACGGAGGAAAUGCAAUUACUUUUCUUUGCUUAAGUUUUCCAGGGCCUUUCUCUGUUGCCCAGGCUGGAGUGCAGUGAGGCAAUCUUGGCUCACCACAAUCUCUCCCUCCUGGAUUCAAGCAAUUCUCCUGCCUCAGCCUCCCGAGUAGCUGGGAUUACAGGCAUGCACCACUAC
rnacentral:lncRNA from 1 species